UCUGGUGUCAGCCGCCGCGGUAAAACCAGCACCUCAAGUGGUCAGGAUGAUUAUUGGGCCUAAAGCAUCCGUAGCCUGCUUUGCCAGUUUUCGGUUAAAUCCAUACGCUCAACGUAUGGGCUGCCGGGAAUACUACAAAGCUAGGGAGUGGGAGAGGUAGACGGUACUCGGUAGGAAGGGGUAAAAUCCUUUGAUCUAUUGAUGACCACCUGUGGCGAAGGCGGUCUACCAGAACACGUCCGACGGUGAGGGAUGAAAGCUGGGGGAGCAAACCGGAUUAGAUACCCGGGUAGUCCCAGCUGUAAACUAUGCAAACUCAGUGAUGCAUUGGCUUGAUGCCAAUGCAGUGCUGCAGGGAAGCCGUUAAGUUUGCCGCCUGGGAAGUACGUACGCAAGUAUGAAACUUAAAG
rnacentral:rRNA from 2 species